UACGAAGGGGGCUAGCGUUGCUCGGAAUCACUGGGCGUAAAGCGCACGUAGGCGGAUAUUUAAGUCGGUGGUGAAAUCCUGGAGCUCAACUCCAGAACUGCCUCCGAUACUGAAUGUCUUCGAGUCCGGGAGAGGUGAGUGGAACUGCGAGUGUAGAGGUGAAAUUCGUAGAUAUUCGCAAGAACACCAGUGGCGAAGGCGGCUCACUGGCCCAUAACUGACGCUGAGGCACGAAAGCGUGGGGAGCAAACAGG
rnacentral:rRNA from 1 species